ACAGCAGCAGCCGCGGGAAUACGAAGGGUGCAAGCGUUACUCGGAAUUACUGGGCGUAAAGCGUGCGUAGGUGGUUGUUUAAGUCUGCUGUGAAAGCCCUGGGCUCAACCUGGGAAUUGCAGUGGAUACUGGGCAACUAGAGUAAGGUAGAGGAUAGUGGAAUUUCCGGUGUAGCAGUGAAAUGCGUAGAGAUCGGAAGGAACAUCUGUGGCGAAGGCGACUAUCUGGGCCAACACUGACACUGAGGCACGAAAGCGUGGGGAGCAAACAGGAUUAGAUACCCCAGUAGUCCCUGUCUCUUAUAC
rnacentral:rRNA from 1 species